GAUUCCUCCCCAUCCAACUUUGUAACAGAUUUUGCAAAUACACAACAUACACUCUCUUUUUCUUUUAUUCUUGCUCUCCACUACUCACCCCUAGCCCACUCACAAAAUAUUCUUUCACCUGGAUUCACCAUCCUUACCCAUGUAAAACACAUACUCGCCAAAGCAGAGGAGACAGAUCGAGGAAUUUUAGAGAGAAAAUAGAGCAUAAAGGAAGAGAACGGACAAAAAGAAACCAAAAACACCCAACCCCCUUUUUGAUUUUGAUCUUUGCUUUCUCAACUUAAAAUAAAAACACAAAUACAAAGGAAAAAGAGAGACAAAACACACUGGGAAACCAACUGGACCCCCAAAAAUGGAGGAUCUCUAUCUUCUUUCUCAAUGAAGAAGAACGGCAGCUCCAUAUGACAACCUGGAGUCACCCGCCACCCAACCCCAUCUAAACUUUAACCACUAAAAACUCAGUUGAAACAACCCAGUUUUAACCACCAAAUCAGCAGCCUCAACACCAUCCAAACACCUCUAUUUUCCUCCCUUCAAAACAGCCCCAAAUAUCUCCAAAAUUCAGUUCGAAACGACCUACAAUUCAAGCCUCAAAACAGGCAACAAACUUCAACUGAAAAACAGCCUCAACGCAGCCAAAUCCUCUAUGAAAGCCACUCCAAAGCACCUCAAAAACACGACGAAAAUCAGCCAAAAUUAACGUCAAGCAGUUUCGAAACUAGAUAUUUAAUACCCAUUCACUCCGACGAGAAUUAGUCGAGUAAUCGGACUUCGUCGAGGUCUCCAGCGAGUCUCUGUUCGAAGUUCCGUUAUUGAGCUUUGUUUCAAAAAAAUUUAAGUUCUCAAAGGUUCGUUUCUCGAUCUCUUAUCACUCUUUCUUGCUCUUUGUUAGUUUAUUAAAUAAUGUGAAAUACAUUCAGCUCAUUAAAUGCCUAAGAAUGUUUGGUUGUUUGUUUCUGUCACAUAUAAAGCUAUAAAAGAUCCAUUUCAUUUUUAAUUAUUUUAAAUAUUAAAUAUGUCUUAGAUAAUAUCUUUUUUAUUAAUUAUUGUGCCAAUUUAUUUCCUUAGCUUUCUUGUAAAUAUUAUCUCAUUUUGACCUUUUUAUUGUAUCAUAUGCCCUUAGCCUCAAUAAGUCUCUGAGACAAAAGAGUUUUGGAAUAGGCAAUGAUAGUAUAAUAAAGAAGGGCCAUAAUAGGUUAGGUCAUUUGGACCGUGGCAGACAAAAUAGAUAAUGUUAAUAACUCUAUAACAAUUCUUAUCCAAAAUGAAUAAUCACUUUUAAAUAUCGUAGUUUGCUUUAGGGGCGUAUUAAUAAAUCAAUUAUCGUGAUUAUGUACACGUUUACAUGACGUAGUUAUGAUUUUCCAAAUUAAAGACAAAGCAUGCAUUCGCGCGACUUUGGCCAAACCAUCUUAAUAAUAAUAAAGUAUUAUUAAUUGUGUACACAUAUGCGUGAUAUGAUUAUGGACAAAUAAUCAACUAAUUAAAAGUGCUAGAAGGUAAAAUGCAUAUAUGUUCUUAAACACGUAAUAAUCCGUUAAUUAAGCCAGGUAUAUUAUUGUAAAGAGCCCGUGCUAAAACCACGAAAUCCGGGAGUGCCUCACACCUUCUCCCAGGUUAACAGAAUUCCUUGUCUGGUCUUCUGGUUUUGUAGACUUUAAAAUAGAGUCAAAUUUUCUCAAUUUGGGAUUUAAAAUAAACUGGUGACUUGGGACACGAUAUAAUUAUUCCAAGUGAUGACUCUAAAUCUAGUAAAUAAUCUCAUUUCUAUUAAUGUCACUUUAGUUGGAAAAACUCCCUAUUCCUAGGAAAAAAUGAGGCGACAAAGGGUGGAGCAUUACCUGAUGCUGACAAAAUAUUCAAAUCAAACCCCUGAGCACAUUGAGUUUUAGAAACACCAAACAUAUGCACACCAUUCACCAUAUCAGAAAUCGAUGCUCCGAGAGGGAAGACACAAAAAGAGGGUUUGGGGUAUUUAGAGGGAAAAAGGGACCAAUUACAAUAAGGUGUGAGAAAAAAAGGGAUGGGUAGUCGGGUCGAUUUAAAAGGAUGGAGAAGAAGCAGAGGCAAUUAAUGUUGUGACACACUAGCAGUUCAAAAAUGCAUAUGAGUGUAAGAGGAACUACUAACCUGAGUCAUGGGAACCAGGUUCCUUGACAAUUUUGAAAAUAUGACCAUCAUCCUUCCAAAAAUUGCAAUGUCAUUAAUCACUUGUUUGUCUUGUAGUUCCCAUGCGUGUUUACCUAUAACAUUAUAGAAUUGAGUUAGAAGUUGCCAGAAAAUACUUUUUAGCAAUUCACAUUACCAUCCUUUUAUAGCCAAUCAUCGAGGGGCCAGGUUCGUAGUUUAUCUUAAGCAAGCCCAACUCCAUACAAUUUCUUUCAAAAUGUUCUUUGCUGAGUGCUUUGGUGAAGAUAUCUGUUACCUGGUCCUCUAUUUUGCAAAACUUCAUACAGAUGAGUCCUUUUUCAACAUUGUCCCUCAGAAAAUGAUGUCGCACAUCAAUGUGCUUUGUCAUCUUAUGUUGAACCGGGUUAUUUUCCAUAUUAAGAGCACUUGUGUUGUUAUACAAAAGUGGCACACAAUCAGAGAGUACACCAAAAUCUUCUAGUUGUUGCUUGAUCCACAACAGAAAGAUGCUGCCACAUAUUCAGCUUCUGUGGUAGAGAGGGCUACAUAGUUUUGUUUCUUUGUACCCCAAGAAAUCAAGCAUGACCCCAGUAAAUGUGUCAUUCCAGAUGUACUAUUUCUAUCCACCAGUUAACCAGCAUAACAAGCAUCAACGUACCCAGUUAAGUCAAAAUUAUCGUCUGAGGGAAAAUAGAGGACUGGAUCCUAUUUUGAGAUACCUCAUAAUUUGUUUGGCAUCUUUCAAAUGAGAUUCUUUAGGACUUGAUUUAAAUCUAGCACAUAACCCAAUACUAAACACAAUAUCAGGUCUGCUGGCUGUUAGGUACAAAAGUGAUCCAAUGACUUAUCAUAGUUCUCUUGAAGUUUUGCUUUACUUGUAGCCCAAGGAAGAAGUUUAGUUCCCCCAUCAUGCUCAUCUUAAACUCGCUUCUCAUAAGGUUUGAAAACUCCUCACACAUGGAAUCAUUCGUUGCAACAAAUAUGAUGUCAUCAACAUAGACUUGCACAAUCAGUAGGUUCCUCCCUCAUUUCUUCAGAUAUAGUGUUAUCAAUUUUCCCUCUAGUGAAGCCAUUCUCCAGAAGGAACCUGGACAAUAUUUCAUACCAUGCACGAGGGACCUGCUUCAAUCCAUAUAGAGCUUUGUCGAUCUUGAAGACAUGUUCAGAUUGUUCAUGGUACUCAAAAUUGAGUAGUUGUUUGACAAAAAUUUCCUCCUUCAAAUAUCCAUUAAGAAAUGCACUCUUAACAUCCAUUUGGAACAUUUUGAAUUCAAUUUGAGAUGCAAAAGCAAUGAGAAUUCUGAUAGAUUCCAUUCUUGCAGCUGGAGCAAAAGUUUCAUCAUAAUCAAUUCUUUCUUCUUGAUUAUAACCUUGGACCACCAGCCUGACUUUAUUUUUUGUAGUAUUGCCAAACUCAUCAAGCUAAUUUCUAAACGCCCAUCUGGUUCCAAUAACUGUUCUAUCUGAAGGCCGAGGAACCAGCUGCCACAUUUUGUUCCUCUCAAAUUGAUGAAGCUCCUCUUGCACAGCAGCAAUUUCAGUCAGCAUCUUUCAAUGCUUCCUUGAUAAUUUUUGGCUCAAUUUGAGACAAGAAGACUGAGAAGGCAAACAUGUUUCUUGCAUUGGAUCUAAUCUGAAUACCAGAUUCCAAAUGAGUGAUUACAUUUUGAAGAGGAUGUGAGCUCUUGUGUUUCCAGUUAGACACCUGGGUUUCAGGAUGAGAGGGAUCAGGGUCCUCCAGGUGUGACCCAUCAUUGGCAUCGAUGGAAGUAUGAAUGCCACUUCUUUGCUCUGCAUCAGGAGUGCCUAAUACAACAUCAGUAACUCUUCUGUCAGUUUUAGUUGCUGUGAAGGAGGUUCUGCUACAUUUUCUUCAUUGGUCUCCUUGACUUGACUCAUUAGAUCUGCCUUCCUAUUUGCCAUAUAAAUAACCUCUCCAUGGACCUUUGAAUAAUCUCCAUCUUGAUCAUCCUUAUCAUGUGAAUCUUUCCUACUCCCAGAAUGUAUCCAUUUUUACCAUUUCCAAAGGACACACUCUUACCUUGCAGGGCCUUAAGUGAAAGGAAAUCAUCCAUUCUUCCAUUCAUGUGUUUAGAGUAGCCACUAUCCAUGUACCAUUUUUGAUUGCUUCCCUUCACUACCGCCUGCAACAAGAGAAUUAGAGAUUAGACUUAGGAACCCAAACAAUUUUGGGUCCCUUGUAAUGAGGGAAAUAGCGAAUAAGAUUUCUUUUUGUCCAUGCAGGCAUCACACAUUUCUUUUCGGAGAAUCAUGUUCCUUAGAAAUAGAUACUUUUUCAACAAAAAAAUUAUUUUUCUGUUGUGACUGAAACUUUGCUUUACAUGAAUCUUUGAAAUGACCAAUUUUACCACAGUGAGUGCAAAACCAGUUAUCAGGCACAAUAACAUACUUGCUAUGUGGGUUAUAGGGGGUAUUUUCCUUGUGGAACCCAAUUCCUUAUAUGUUCCCUCCCCCCCCCCCCCCCCAUUAAUUUUAUACAUGGGAAUGAUUGUAUCAGAGGACCAGGUACACUUCAGAGAUUUAUCUAUAUCAUUUUUAACGUUAUUUAACUCUUUCUGAAGUUGUCUAUCUGUUUCAAGUUCAGCAACUCAAUUUUACAUUUUUGAGUUUAUUUUCAAGCUUAAGGUAUGCCUCACUUGCCACUUCCUUUCCUUUAGAGGAGUUCAUGCAUUUUUCCAUUGAAUUUAAGAGAAUAUUUUCUUUCUUUGUCUCCUCCACUAUUUCCUUCAAAUCUACAACUACAACCACCAUAUCAUCUCUCUCUUGUUCUAACUCUCGGAUUUCCUCAGUUAAAGUAUUUUUAUCAUUAAUGAGGUUGUGGUAAGUAUCAAUUAAAACAUGAGCUAUAGGUGCCAAUUUCUUUUUAGAAUAAGACUUCAAAUUUCUUUGAACGUCCAGAAAGUUUACAUCAUCGUCAUCAUUAUCUUCAUCCUCAUCAAUUUUGCUAUUAGUGCAAAUAUGGAGUCAUACUCUGCAGCUUCACGUUCAAUAGACAUCAUGAAGGUGUCUCUUUGUUCAUUAUCACCCCCAGAUUCACUAGAGGAAUCUCCCCAAUCAGCCAGAGCUUGCUUCAUAAUAUUAUCAGUAGCAUCUCUUCUCUUGAAUUUCCUGUCGGGGACCGAGUUCCUCUUAACAACCUUGUCCACAUUGUGUUUAUUGUGGUCCUACUUUUGAAGAGGAUACUCUUUGAUGAAAUGUCCUGGCUUUCCGCACUUGUGACAACAGUCAUACCCUUAGGUAUUUCUACUAGAGCUGCCUUUCUUGAGGAUUCCUCCAUUUCUACGAACCAUUUUUUGGAAUCACCGAGUAAGAUAGUCCAUGUCAUCAUCAUCACCACUUGAGUCAUUGUUGUCUGUUGAGGACAGGAUUCUUCUCCUUUUUGGGUUCACUUUGUUCAAGAUCGUUCUUCUUUUUCGUCUCAUAGGUUUUCAAAUUUCCGAUGAGUUCAUCAAUGGUUGACUUUUGCAGAUCCUUCACUUCUAUGAUAGCAUUAAUUGUGCUCUCCCAGGAACCUGGUAAAACACUAAGUAUCUUUCUUACCAGUUUUUUCCUUGGGAUAAAUCUCCAAGAGAGUGAAGCUAUUGAUGAUGGAAGUUAAGCGAGUAUGCAUGUUUUGAAUAAACUCAUCCUCACUCAUCUUGAAGAGUUCAUAUUUAAUGGUAAGCAUGUCGAUUUUUGACUGCUUGACUUGAGUGGUUUGCUCAUGUGCAGUUUGGAGAGCCUCACAUAUCGCCUUAGCAGAUUGAUAGGCUUAGAUGCGAUUUUACUUGUCUGGUUCAAUGCCAUAAACGAGGAUCUUCUUUGCCUUGAAGUUUUUCUCCAUGGCCUUACGAUCAUCAUCACUAUAUUCCUUCCUUGGAUUUUGGAACUGUAAUUGUUCCCUUGCCAACGGUCUUUAUGUGGAUGAUGGGUCCAUCACAGAUAACAAACAUCCUGGAGCUCUGAAUUUUCUACCAUGAUAAAAUCACGCAUCCUCGUCUUCCACCAGCCAUAGUAUUGGCCAUUGAAUCUUGGUGACCUGUAGGUUGAUUGUGCUUCUUCAAAGUUUGUUGGAGUAGCCAUGUUGAUCUUUUCUAGGUGUUAGCCUUAUAGAAAGAACCUGCUCUGAUACCAAUGAUAUAAACUAAGAGUCCACGAAACUGUAUAGAGAACCAUGUUUCUAUCAACUCCCACAGUAAGCAAUUGACUGUAAAACUAAACAGUAUAGAGAACCAGGUUCUCUAUCUGUUCCCACGAUAAAUCGGCAGUAAAUAAAUAACAUACGAUAUUUACGUGAAAAAGUCCUUGAUCAAGGGAUUGAAAAUCAUGACCUACACUAGUAGGAUUUCAACUCCAUUAAACCGAGCAAACUUCAUUACAACCUGUUGCAAUCUAGGAAUUAAACUCUUAAUCCCUCACCCCUUACAAUAUCCCUAUUGUAAGCCAUUUGCAAUAACUCUAUUACAAAGCAAUAAAUAUUGACUAACUCUAAUCAAGAAACUAAACCAAAUAGUGGUUUAAAUCUGUCCUACAAAGACACUUUUUGAAAGUAGUGUAGGAUUACAAAUGAAGAACAAAAUAACAAAGACUCAACAAACCUAAGGACUUAAGAUAUCUUCAAUCUCUGGAUCUGGUCUAUGGGGUUGCAACAGCUUUGUUCUUGAGAGAGGUGGUGGCUAGCACUUGAGAGAGAAAAAUCAAUUUUAGGUUUUGCAAGUGUUAGAAAAUGAAAUCCCUUGCCUCAUGUUGAUAAUAUGUGUAUGUGUAUGUGAGGUCAUCUAGGAUGAUGCAAUAAAGUGUCGUUUAGUUUGGCCUUAGCAAGCUACAGAUGUGAUGCUAUAUUAUUGUCAGACGGUACAAUGCAACAACUUUUACAGCUGCAGAGUUGACUGCACGACGACCAGGAGAACUGAUCCCUAUAUGUUCCAUUUGUUGUUCCCUUAUAUGAUUUCAUUAUGAAUUGAAGCAGACAUCUAACUAGUUACUCUAAACGCAAGGGAACUAAUUGUAUCAGGUUCCUUAUCUAGUUCUUUUAUGGAGUUUGUCAAAUCAUCAAAACAAAAAACGCAUAACUUAUCAAUAUUGUCAUUAUCCUUUAAUUUUCUUAAGAAUCUAACAAGAAAUGCAUGCUCAGGAUAAGAUGGGCAAGUGAAAAGCUGUCUUUAAACUUUUGACUCGUUCAACAACUCACGGCUGAUCUCCAAAAUAUUUGGUCUAUCAUAACAAAGAAAAACUUCCCUAUUAGUGGUAGUCCGAAAGGAACAACACAUGCUUAGGAAAACAUUAGUUCAAAAUGAAGAGAAACUUGAGACCAAGAGGUCGAGUUUGAUAGAAAUUUAAUUUCCUCAACUUACACCGUGCAGCAACAUUGAAAUUGUUCCAGAAAUAAAGUACUAUAUGUGAGCUCUUCAAUUGGCUCGACUCUUCUGCAAUUUUAAGCUUGGGAAUUUGGAGCAUCAAUUCCGCAGCUCAAUCUUUUGUAACCCUUUACAAUUCUGAAUUCUCAAAUUGACAAUAAAAGGACAAAUAGUGAGUAGAAUCUGAAGCAUGUUGUCAUCUAAAUUUACAUUAGAUAGAUUAAGCUUUCUCAAAGUUUUGCAGUCAGAAACAGAUGUAGCUCUUGAGCUACGGGUUUAAUUGAACCCAUAACUUUAAUAUGUGGCUUAGAUGUAUAUGUAAAAGAUCAUCAAAAUCUCAAUAAAUAUUACAUUCUGAACCCAUAAUUUUUAAUGUGCAAUGGAUUUAGGAGUAGAAAUAUAAAGAUUGAAUCCACCAAAUUAAAUUCUGGAUCCGUCUCUAUUUGCAGCUGGGCAUAGCAUACUACUACUAGAUACGGAAACAUGCAUCAGAUUGCAACCGCUCAGAUUCAAUUCUCUUAAUAAAUUUGAUGCCAAGAUUGUGAAAAUGGGCAAGGGGCAAGAUGCAUGUCGGUAAGCAUAUUCAAUGAAGACCAAAUCUUUUACACAAUGUGAUGUCAAGUUACUUAUCAAUCGGAGGAAAAAGUUGAAGAGACGAAUGUGAAUAAAAGUUGAAAAAUACAAACUUG
rnacentral:lncRNA from 1 species